CCUACGGGGGGCAGCAGUGAGGAAUAUUGGUCAAUGGGCGAGAGCCUGAACCAGCCAAGUCGCGUGAAGGAAGAAGGUCCUAUGUAUUGUAAACUUCUUUUGUCGGGGAACAAAGUCGGCGACGCGUCUCCGGAUGAGUGUACCCGAAGAAAAAGCAUCGGCUAACUCCGUGCCAGCAGCCGCGGUAAUACGGAGGAUGCGAGCGUUAUCCGGAUUUAUUGGGUUUAAAGGGUGCGCAGGCGGGAGAUCAAGUCAGCGGUAAAAUGUCGGGGCUCAACCCCGGCCUGCCGUUGAAACUGGUGUUCUAGAGUGGGAGAGAAGUAUGCGGAAUGCGUGGUGUAGCGGUGAAAUGCAUAGAUAUCACGAAGAACUCCGAUUGCGAAGGCAGCAUACCGGCGCCAUACUGACGCUGAGGCACGAAAGCGUGGGGAUCGAACAGGAUUAGAUACCCUUGUAGUC
rnacentral:rRNA from 1 species